GCAGUUUCCACACCGUGAGCUGCUGAGAUGGCACCCAUGGGAGUGUCGCAGUUUCCACACCGUGAGCUGCUGAGAUGGCACCCGCGUGAGUGUCGCAGUUUCCACACCGUGAGCUGCUGAGAUGGCACCCGCGUGAGUGUCGCAGUUUCCACACCGUGAGCUGCUGAGAUGGCACCCGUGUGAGUGUCGCAGUUUCCACACCGUGAGCUGCUGAGAUGGCACCCGUGUGAGUGUCGCAGUUUCCACACCGUGAGCUGCUGAGAUGGCACCCAUGGGAGUGUCGCAGUUUCUACACCGUGAGCUGCUGAGAUGGCACCCGUGUGAGUGUCGCAGUUUCCACACCGUGAGCUGCUGAGAUGGCACCCGUGUGAGUGUCGCAGUUUCCACACCGUGAGCUGCUGAGAUGGCACCCAUGGGAGUGUCGCAGUUUCUACACCGUGAGCUGCUGAGAUGGCACCCACGUGAGUGUCGCAGUUUCCACACCGUGAGCUGCUGAGAUGGCACCCGUGUGAGUGUCGCAGUUUCCACACCGUGAGCUGCUGAGAUGGCACCCACGUGAGUGUCGCAGUUUCCACACCGUGAGCUGCUGAGAUGGCACCCGUGUGAGUGUCGCAGUUUCCACACCGUGAGCUGCUGAGAUGGCACCCGUGUGAGUGUCGCAGUUUCCACACGUGCAUCAUUGCUGUGUAAGAUGCUCAAGUGAGAGGAAGCUGGUGAACGGGUCUGUGGGAAGUUGCAGUACUGUCUUUGCAACUCUUCUGGACAUCUUUUUUUUUUUUUUAAAUAAAACAUUUUUAACAUGAAAAUAUGCAGAGCACGGUGGCUCGCACCUGUAAUCCCAGCACUUUGGGAGGCCGAGGCAGGUGGAUCAUGAGGUCAGGAGUUCAAGACCAGCCUAGCCAACAUGGUGAAACCCCGUCUCUACUAAGAAUACAAAAAUUAGCUGGGCGUGGUGAUGGGCAUCUGUAAUCCCAGCUACUCGGGAGGCUGAGGCAGGAGAAUCACUUGAACCCGGGAGGCAGAGGUUGCAGUGAGCCGAGAUCGCGCCCCUGCACUCCAGCCUGGGUGACAGAGCAAGACUCCAUCUCAAAAAAAAUAAAGGAAAUAUGCGUCGUUGGAUGCUGUAUGACAAUCAAGCUACUUAUAACAAACAAAAUUGAGAAUGAAGGAUUAUGAUCCAAACUCAGCUGGGCCUCCCCUCCCUGCCCCAGGAUUGUGGAGUGAGAACGUUGCAGCAGGAGAGAACAACGCAGCAAAGCACAGCAGGGGAACCGGAAAUGCUCACCUUUUGACAGGGUACUUUUAGUUCUGGGGCCUUAUCUUAAGGAUAUUCCAACAUAUACAAAAAGAUUCAUGCACAGAGAUAUUUACUUUAGUAUUAUUUACCAUAGGAAAAAAGUUGGAAACAAUACAUUUUAUGUUCUGUAAAAUGAAAGAACAGUUAAAUAAAUCAUGGCUCUAAGACGACUCCAGGGCUGUGUACGGAAGUUCAGGGACAGAAUCAGUUGAGGCUGUUCCACCUGAGCCUAAGGUUCCUCUGCUGUAUGUCGGGAAUCAGGUGGGGGCCAAGCGAGAUCACCACAGUGCAGGCCAGUGUGCAGGGCACAGGUGGGCGCCAGGGAGGGGACGCCGCACAGCCCCAUGCUCUCGCCAAAAACGUGCAGCACAAUUUGGAAGAAAACGUUUCCAUCUGUUAAUAAAGAGCAACGGCCUCUGGUCAUAAGUGA